rnacentral:rRNA from 1 species
AACGGGCGAAGUUGAACGGAAGAUUAGCCCAAGCACCGAAGCCCUGUUCAAAUUUUUUGGACAAGGCAAUGUGGUGUAGUAAUGUGUGCCUAGUGCCGCUUGUCUACUCAAAGUCCAACUCCGAUUAUGGCUUGGAUUUGUUCCUCAGAGGGUGAAAGACCCGUAUGAGUAGAUAUAUAGCAUUCAAGAGCGGUUGCUAGAUGUACAUGUUAUAAGAGUCGGAUUGCUUGAGAAUGCAGUCCAAAGACGGGUGGUAAACUCCAUCCAAGGCUAAAUACUGGCACGAGUCCGAUAGUAAACAAGUACCGUGAGGGAAAGUUGAAAAAGUACUCUGAAGAGAGAGUAAAUAGUACGUGAAGCCGCCUGUAGGGAAAGCUGGUGGAGUCAAGCUUCUUGCCGUAUUGUUUGGUGCGGGAAUGUUUUGUGAAUAUGGAGGUUGUGGCCUGUAAACGGCUGGGCGAACUCGUUUGCUCAAACUUUUACUGGUAGUAGUCUUUGCAUGCCUCCUAUCUUCAGGUUCCCUGCUCUAUACCUUACGUCAUCCAUCACAGUCAUUGCAUAUGAUGCGCUGGGCUGCCUAACUGUGCUAGGGAAAACUUUCCGUUUACUUAGUGCAGAAAGGCAGGUAGUAGCAAAUCGUUUCACGUUUUGUUACUUAUAAUGUUAUUACAGCCGGUCGCUUAGCUUUGCUUUCUUGUGCAGUGUCUCUCACCUUG